rnacentral:lncRNA from 1 species
AAAGAGCAAAAGAAGAAGAAGUUGUGAUGGCUUCCUCUAUGCUCUCCUCUGCCGCUGUGGUUACCUCCCCAGCUCAAGCCACCAUGGUCGCUCCAUUCACCGGCUUGAAGUCAUCCGCUACUUUCCCCGUCACCCGCAAGGCCAACAACGACAUUACUUCUAUCUCAAGCAACGGCGGAAGAGUUAGCUGCAUGAAGGUAAUGUCCUAUAAAAACUGUAUUUUGUCAUGUGUAAUUAGUGAAAUUGAACAAAACUUAGAAUAAUUGGAAUUGGGAGUUAUAGGUGUGGCCACCAAUUGGAAAGAAGAAGUUUGAGACUCUAUCUUACCUCCCUGACCUUACUGACGUCGAAUUGGCUAAGGAAGUUGACUACCUUCUCCGCAACAAGUGGAUUCCUUGUGUUGAAUUCGAGUUAGAGGUAAUAAACACUGGACCUUUCGUUUGUCUCUAAUCAUUAUAUAUUAUUUUCUUACAUAGCUAAAAACCAAAGUCAAUAAGCUUAUUUUCGUUUGUCUCUAAUCAUUGUUCAUUGAAUGGAUUUCGUAUUCAUUUAUAGCAUGGAUUUGUGUACCGUGAGCAUGGAAACACACCUGGAUACUACGAUGGACGGUACUGGACAAUGUGGAAGCUUCCAUUGUUCGGAUGCACCGACUCCGCUCAAGUGUUGAAGGAAGUGCAAGAGUGCAAGAAGGAGUACCCUAACGCCUUCAUUAGGAUCAUCGGAUUUGACAACAACCGUCAAGUCCAGUGCAUCAGUUUCAUUGCCUACAAGCCCCCAAGCUUCACUGAUUCUUAAUUAAAUCCUUUCUGGAAUAUUCAAUGUUGACUAUCCGGAACAAUUUUGUAUGGUCAAUGUAAAUUUAAGUAACUAUUAUCUAGCCAACUUAAACGUUGAGCAAUUGUUUUGCGAAAAGUGAAAAAGUUGAAGGUUUAUUUUCUAUCAUUUCCUCUAUAAUUAUAUCUAUUCAUAUCAUUUCAUUUUUGAUCUUAUCACUUUGAACUCUUUCAUCUUCGAUUUAGCUCUUUUAAGCAACAUUUUAUUUCCUUUACAUUUCCCUCCUAAUUUUUGCUUUUGAUUCUCUAGACUAACCUAUAAUAGAAGAGAGACCUUUUUAGAUACCUUUUUGGAAAAACUUUGCACAUGAAAUCAUAACAAAGAUGCCUCAAUAAAUCAAAUCUCGAAAGGGCCAGUACCUUGUGACUUAGAUGGAUGGGCUAGGACGAUCUCGCUUUCGAAAAAAAGAUUUAUUUGAUUUUGCUGUGGGUGGAGCAAUGUUGACUACCUCCGCACUAUUUUCUUGAACGGUUUUGGCUAUUUUGUACCUUGUACGCGCUUCUGCUCACGGGAAAUUUGUGAGCUUUAAGUUGGUAUUGUGGAUCCAUGACCAUAGCUUCUUCCUGUGGCCUUAGGGAGAGUUCUUGCCUCGGUUCCACACCGUCCAUUGAAGUGUGCUAUGAAAAUUCCCCACAAUCUGUCAUGUCUUCCAUGCUUAAGUUGACAUGGUGGAAAUCAUCUUGAGGUGCCACAUUUUAAGUGGGCCGUACGUGCAAUGGUGUGGUGCUCCGAAAGGAACGGUAGCAUGGGUUCCUAUAGCAUUGGAUCGUUUUCUAAACAAUAUGCAUUAUGUGUUUAUAAAUUUUAGUAAUUGUACAUACAUGUCCCAGUUUAAAAACAGAUUAACAUACAUUAUAAUUUUAAGGGCUGCCUAUAGCGUUACACCUAUACUAUAGCGUUUCAACUCCUAUCCACCUGUACUUUCGACCUCUGCCCAAUUCACCUUAUACUUGUUUUAAACUUCCUAAUUCCACCUAAACUAUUAAAUUCUCCAUAAUUAACCAAAAUCAAGAACUCUCUAUAAUUGCGAUUAAAAAUCGUUCAAAUCGCGUUUACUGUAGGCCAACCCGAGUCAGAUCCGACCAGCUUCGAAGACUUCUUUCACCAUAAGGGUUUGACUCGUGUUCAUUUGUUUUGUCGGGUCAACCUCGGAUUAAUAUAAACACAUAUUUUUUUACUGCAAUUUGAACUAUUUUUAAUCGUAAUUAUAGAGAGUUGGGCAGAUGUCGAAAGUACAUGUGGAUAGGAGUUGAAACGAUAUAUAUAGUAUAGUUGUAACGCUAUAGGCAGCCCUAAUUUUAAUAAGAAUGAUAUAAACUCAACUAAACUUCCUCUUCUUAGUUUGAAACUUUGCAUGACCAUUAACUCUCUUAUACUGCAUAAGACAUAAUUAGUGACAUAUUUUUUUCUUUCUAUUAUCAAUAUUUUCGUUAGCAUGUACUCGUUGUAAGAUGAAUAGAGAAAUAAUUGAAUUAUGAAAUAACGAAAUCAAUGUAUAUAUAUAUAAAACAAAAACAAUUUUACGCUGAACAAUUUUUUUUUAAAAAAAGGCAAAAAAAUUGCUUGUUUCAUAUUAUAGGAUGUUUUGGACCUUUUUUUUUGUUUCACAAUAUAUAAUGCUUUGAAGAAAAAAUACAAGUUUCUAUGUAAAACAUUAAAUUUAAUAGAUUAUUGACUAUUUACAUUAUGCAGUAAAUUAUAUCACUGAUUAAAUUAUUUUUAAUAGAUAUUAAUUUUUGUUUUAAUGUUAAAAACUCAAGAUUAGUUAAUUUCUUAAACUUUGUGCUUUCAUCUUUUUUUUUAUCUUUUUUUUUUGUCAUCCGAAAUUAAUUAUACCUCAAAAGAGAGAGUAUUAUUUGAAACAAAGAGAGUAUUAUUUAGCAGAUAAAUGACUUUUAUCUGAUUUAAUUAUAAUUUUAAAAUGUGCGGGAUGAAUUAAAAGAUCAUUUAUCAUUUUUCACGUUUUGUUUUUUUCCAGUUAGGUUUUUGUGAAUGGUUUUUACUCAGCGUAAUCAUGUUUUAAGAACAAGAACGUGAGAAAGUUAACAAAAUACCGUUGCAAGACUUUAUUUUUGUUUUACACAAAAUGUAGUUUUAUAUUUUCAAAGUAGUUUUUUUUAAUAGAAUUUACUUAUAUUCUUUUUAGUUAAGAUAAUCAAAUGGGAAAAUAAAAAUAUUAAUGUGUUAAUACAAGAUAAUAGAAAUUUAAUCAUUUUAAUAUAUAUGUAAAAAGUAUUCAACCGAUAUUUACAAUUAGACAGAACUAAGAAGUAUUAAAUUUCUCACCUCACCUCCCAAAAGAAAGGAGCCAAAAGCAACCGAUCAAGUGGAGACCAGUACUAGCCAUACACAUUCACUCGUUCCCUUACAAGAGAAAGAUAAGAUUAUGGAGUUUUCUGCCACUUGGUCUUAUCCUAGUGGUCCGAAUUGAUAAGGGUUUCAACACCUUUCCUUAAUCCUGUGGCAAUUAACGACGUUAUCAUGAAUUAUGGCCACUUUGAUCAUUAGGGCUUUUUGCCUUGCAGUUCUCACUAUAUAAAGAUGACCAAAUCAAUCGACAAACAAGUAAAAGAAACAACAAGAAGUAGUGAUGGCUUCAUCUAUGCUCUCCUCUGCCGCUAUGGUUACCUCCCCAGCUCAAGCCACCAUGGUCGCUCCAUUCACCGGCUUGAAGUCAUCCGCUGCUUUCCCGGUCACCCGCAAGGCCAACAACGACAUUACUUCUAUCUCAAGCAACGGCGGAAGAGUUAGCUGCAUGAAGGUAAUGUCCUAUAAAAACUGUAUUUUGUCAUGUGUAAUUAGUGAAAUUGAACAAAACUUAGAAUAAUUGGAAUUGGGAGUUAUAGGUGUGGCCACCAAUUGGAAAGAAGAAGUUUGAGACUCUAUCUUACCUCCCUGACCUUACUGACGUCGAAUUGGCUAAGGAAGUUGACUACCUUCUCCGCAACAAGUGGAUUCCUUGUGUUGAAUUCGAGUUAGAGGUACUAAACACCGAACUUUUCCUUUGUCUCUAAUCAUCCUUUAUUAUUUCUGUUCAUUGGUAGAAACAUAAGUCAAUAACCGGAUUUUAAAACCCGAAAUAGACUAUAACCGUGUGACUCCUCGACUAUCAAUGGUAUUGAAUGGUUUUGUCAUCUGUUUAUAGCACGGAUUUGUGUACCGUGAGCACGGAAACACUCCCGGAUACUACGAUGGACGGUACUGGACAAUGUGGAAGCUUCCAUUGUUCGGAUGCACCGAUUCUGCUCAAGUGUUGAAGGAAGUGCAAGAAUGCAAGAAGGAGUACCCUAAUGCCUUCAUUAGGAUCAUCGGAUUCGACAACAACCGUCAAGUCCAAUGCAUCAGUUUCAUUGCCUACAAGCCCCCAAGCUUCACCGAUGCUUAAUUCCCUUUCUGGAAUGUUCAACGUUGACUAGUAUUUCGGAAUCCAAUUCUAUGUGGUCAAUGCAAAUUUAAGAAAUUAAUUAGCCGACUUAAAAGUUGAGGAAUUAUUGUGUGAAAGUGAAAAAUUUGAAGGUUUUUUCUAUCAAUUUCCUUAUAAUUAUAUUUACUCAUUUGAUUUCAUUUUUUUUCUUCUAGCUCUUUGAGCUCUAUUUUUCGUUUAGCUCCUUUUGACAACAUUCCGGUUCAUUUAAAUUCUCCUCAUUAUUCUUGCUUUUGAGAAAUUGGCUACAUUGUUUCGAGAAAUUUUGCACAUGAAAGCAUAACAAAGAUGCCUCAAUUUAUCAAACCUCGAUGAUUUAGAACAAAAGAUUAUUUAAGGGGGUGUAACCUUUUAAGAUGAAAUAGCCAUUGGAGAUAGCAAAAGGUAGUAAAAGACGUAUACACUAUAAACAAAAUCCAAAUGUAUGCUUUUAAAAUUAUAAACAUGUAUUCCAAACGCCUAAGUGGAAUAUUCAGUUUAAUUCAAGUCCAAGAAAUGGCAUUAUAUAAAGCAAGGAUCGACAAAGACUGAAAUUUGUCUAGCAUGAAGUUACUAAAUUUUGGAAAUUGUGUUCACGUUAAAAGCUGAAACUUAACAGUUAUUUAUAAGGAAAAGCAGUUAAUGUUCCCAAAAAGUUCUAAAUGAAACUAGAAACCAAAUGAUAAAGAAAACGUAGCAUCUACAUGUUUGGUUUUAGUUUUUUUUUUUUUGACAAAAAUAUUCAAAUGUUUUUAGAUUCUUCUAUGCAAACGAUAUAUAGAAAAUAUAUACAUGAUUCAAAUAUAAUACAAAUAAAAAUAAUUAUUGAAAUUACCGAACAUUUUUUUGCAUCUCCCUGAUUUACUUCCCACAUUUUCGUUUCAAAUAAAAUUCAAGAAAAAGAAAGACGACGAAAAAAAAUGACUUAAAAAGACAAGGGACAGAAGCUGGUAACUUAGAUGGAUGGGUUAGGACUAUCUCACUUUCGAAAAAUGUUUAUUUGGUUGAGGUGCGGAGUGGAGUGGAGCUUGUGAUUCUUUGCCCUAUAUGAGAGUUUUUUCGUGACCAAUUAUGGUGAUUGUGUACUUUGUAUACAUGUUUCUUCUCAUAUGGUUGAAAUGGGGGCAUUUGUGAGCUUUAAGGUGGCAGUCUUGAUCCACGACCAUAGCUUUACAUGACUUUAAGGUGAGUUCUUGCCUUGGUUCUACACCGUUGAUUGAAAUGAAUUAUGAAAAUUCCUCAUGAUCCGCCAUUUUUACAUGCUAAGUUUUUUUUUUUUGAAAAAUGCAUGCUUAAGUUGAAACGGUGGUUAUCAACUUGAGGUGCCAUAUUUGUGAUUAAGUGGGCCGUAAGUGCAACGGCGUGGUACUCAAAGAGGAACGGUGGGGUGGGUUUCACAUCGUGAUUGUGAUGUGAGUAUGUAUGUGACCAGAGUCCAGGGCCGGCUCAAAAUUAUUCGAGACCUUGUGCUGAUGUAUAAAAAUUGGUUUUUAAAUAAUAUAGUGAAAAUUUUGGACCCUCAAUCUUAGAGGAAAUUGAAAUUUUUUUUUGAGGACCCUGUGCUUUUGCUCCUCUAGCACACCCUUAGAGCUGGCACUGCCAGAGUCACAAGAUAAUCGUGAGCUGGUCUUACUUGUUGAUCGAGAGGCAGCAUUAACUCAUAUAGAAGAAACCAUGGACCUCCGACCUUGGGAGGUUUUCUUGGAAAUUCUUCCAUGAUGGAAGCUUACCGCAUGAGCAUGAUACAGGUAGAUGCAUGAUGGUUUCGGUUGUUUGCUCGAUCGCUUUCUACCACAAACAUAUCUUGCAUCUAAUUGUUGUUGCCUUGUUGGUUCUCAAAUAUUUACUCUCGAAACAGUAAGAUGUUGUUAGCCAUACGUAAAUCAGAAAUAAAAGUAUAGUUGGCUAAAACUGCAGUGAGUAUAGAAUUAACCGAUAUCAAUUUAUUCAAAUUUCCGUCUCUCUUUUCUUUUGUUGGCUAAUAUAUUAUCAUUUGAAGAUAAUAUAUAGUUUUUCCAAGAAAAGAAUAUUGACAAUUUUUUUGUGGUAAGUGAUUUUAAGAAUGACUCCAGAAUCGACAGGUUACCCAGACAAUAUUUAUCAUGGAUAAACCUAUCGAAAAAUCUUAAAAAUCAGUAUUAAUAAAACGGAAGUAGUAAUGAACUUCUAAGCUAUGCAUUACAAUACAUUUAUCUCAAUGUCGAAUUUAAAUAAUUUUCUUAGAACUCCUUUUUUAAUGCGACCUUAUUCACCAAAUCAAGUGAAGCCAAAUUAAAUCAUGCAUGGUAAAUAAAAUAUCCAAAAGCAUUAAAUUUAAGGUAAUGCGUCUGAUUUCUUUCCUCCCAAACGAAAGGAGCCAAAAGCAACCGAUCAAGUGGAAACCAAUAACCACACAUUCACUUCGUUUCCCCCACAAGAGAAGAUAAGAUAAUGGAGUUUUCUGCCACGUGGCAUUAUCCUAGUGGUCCGUACCGAUAAGGGUGUCAACACCUUUCCUUAAUCCUGUGGCAGUAAACGACGUUAUCAUGAAUUAUGGACCCUUUGAUCAUGAGGGGCUUUUUUCCUGUUGCGGUUCUCACUAUAUAAAGAUGACAAAACCAGUAGACAAACAAGUAAGUAAGAGAAAAGAGCAAAAGAAGAAGAGAAACAACAAGAAGUAGUAAUGGCUUCCUCUAUGCUCUCCUCGGCCGCUGUGGUUACCUCCCCGGCUCAAGCCACCAUGGUCGCUCCAUUCUCCGGCUUGAAGUCAUCCGCUGCUUUCCCGGUCACCCGCAAGGCCAACAACGACAUUACUUCCAUCGCAAGCAACGGGGGAAGAGUUAGCUGCAUGAAGGUAAAGUAAAGUCAUUAAUGAAAGAUGUCUUUUGUCAUGGCAAUUAGUGUAAUUGAACAAAACAUAGAAUAAUUGGAAUUGGAUUCGGGAAUUAUAGGUAUGGCCACCAAUCGGAAAGAAGAAGUUUGAGACUUUAUCUUACCUCCCUGACCUUACUGACGUCGAAUUGGCUAAGGAAGUUGACUACCUUCUCCGCAACAAGUGGAUUCCUUGUGUUGAAUUCGAGUUAGAGGUAAUAAACACUGAACCUUUCCUUUGUCUCUAAUCAUUAUAUAUUAUUUUCUUACAUAGCUAAAAACCAAAGUCAAUAAGCUUAUUUUCUACACCAAAGUUGAGGCUAUCAUUGUCCAUCGAAUGGUUUUCUUAUGUGUUUAUAGCACGGAUUUGUGUACCGUGAACAC